UGGAAGCGUCUGGAAAGGCGUGCGAUACAGGGUGACAGCCCCGUACACAAAAAUGCACAUAUUGUGAGCUCGAUGAGUAGGGCGGGACACGUGGUAUCCUGUCUGAAUAUGGGGGGACCAUCCUCCAAGGCUAAAUACUCCUGACUGACCGAUAGUGAACCAGUACCGUGAGGGAAAGGCGAAAAGAACCCCGGCGAGGGGAGUGAAAAAGAACCUGAAACCGUGUACGUACAAGCAGUGGGAGCCUCUUAAUGGGGUGACUGCGUACCUUUUGUAUAAUGGGUCAGCGACUUAUAUUCUGUAGCAAGGUUAACCGAAUAGGGGAGCCGAAGGGAAACCGAGUCUUAACUGGGCGUUAAGUUGCAGGGUAUAGACCCGAAACCCGGUGAUCUAGCCAUGGGCAGGUUGAAGGUUGGGUAACACUAACUGGAGGACCGAACCGACUAAUGUUGAAAAAUUAGCGGAUGACUUGUGGCUGGGGGUGAAAGGCCAAUCAAACCGGGAGAUAGCUGGUUCUCCCCGAAAGCUAUUUAGGUAGCGCCUCGUGAAUUCAUCUCCGGGGGUAGAGCACUGUUUCGGCAAGGGGGUCAUCCCGACUUACCAACCCGAUGCAAACUGCGAAUACCGGAGAAUGUUAUCACGGGAGACACACGGCGGGUGCUAACGUCCGUCGUGAAGAGGGAAACAACCCAGACCGCCAGCUAAGGUCCCAAAGUCAUGGUUAAGUGGGAAACGAUGUGGGAAGGCCCAGACAGCCAGGAUGUUGGCUUAGAAGCAGCCAUCAUUUAAAGAAAGCGUAAUAGCUCACUGGUCGAGUCGGCCUGCGCGGAAGAUGUAACGGGGCUAAACCAUGCACCGAAGCUGCGGCAGCGACACUAUGUGUUGUUGGGUAGGGGAGCGUUCUGUAAGCCUGUGAAGGUGGCCUGUGAGGGUUGCUGGAGGUAUCAGAAGUGCGAAUGCUGACAUAAGUAACGAUAAAGCGGGUGAAAAGCCCGCUCGCCGGAAGACCAAGGGUUCCUGUCCAACGUUAAUCGGGGCAGGGUGAGUCGACCCCUAAGGCGAGGCCGAAAGGCGUAGUCGAUGGGAAACAGGUUAAUAUUCCUGUACUUGGUGUUACUGCGAAGGGGGGACGGAGAAGGCUAUGUUGGCCGGGCGACGGUUGUCCCGGUUUAAGCGUGUAGGCUGGUUUUCCAGGCAAAUCCGGAAAAUCAAGGCUGAGGCGUGAUGA
rnacentral:rRNA from 1 species